UUGUGGAGAACUUUGCAAGUUUGAUGUAAUUACUAAAAAAGAUGAAAUUUUUAUUUCUUAAUUUUAAAUUACUGUUAAUGUUUAAUUUUUUCAUAUUUUCUUUUUUUCCCCCUCUUCCUCUUAUUUGUGGUAAGUUUUAAAAUUUGAUUGUACUUUUUGAAAGUUGCUAAGAUUCGAUUACACUUUCAUAAUAAGUUUAAGAAUUUUUAGUGCUCUUAGCCAUUUAUAAAACUAUAGAAGGUAGCAUCUUUUUUAUAGAAGAAUAAUGAAGUUAAACCUAUCUACAUUUGAAGAAAAUGGAGAAUUAGGUUUCAGCGAUUUGCUUCCCCUUUAAUAAGGCAAUACUGAGAAAUCAAGCUUGGAGACUAACUCAAAACCCUUCAUCACUUUGGCGUUGGCUAUUGAAAUGAAUUUACUUUCCUAGCGUAGACUUUUGGCAUGCAGAAAAAGGAGUAUGCCCCUUUUAGGGAUGGUAGAGCUUGCUCGCGGGAAGGGAUUUAAUCUCUCACUUAGUGCAUUGUUUAGUACAUAAUGAAGCUAACAUAACAAUUAGAGAAAAGACAAAUGGCUGAAAAAGAUGGGGCUUGGAGGUCCUGCUCCUAGAGGUGAACCACUUGUGCAGUCGAUCUAAUUAGCAAGGAGAACUCAUGGAAUGUUCAAUUUCUAGAGGAUAAUUUUGACAUUAAAUUGUCGAUAAAAUCCAAUCUACUCCAGUGAGGACUCAAAUAGCAAAAGAUCAUAUUGUAUGGACAUGGAUUCAAUCAAACAAAUAUUCAGUCGAAAGAGGAUAUAAUCACAUAAGAGGGUCAGAUGACAAACCUAGCUAGAUUCAAGCAUUUUCCUCCUUUCAACUUCCUCACAGUCUAUGGAAGGAGAUAUGGAACUUGUGUACCACCCCUAAAGUCAAAUUAUGUAUGUGGCCCACUAUGUCAAAAUGCUCCACUUAUGAAGGAGAACCUAUUUGGAAGAUGAAUUGUACUCGAUUUGAUAUGCACAUUGUGCAAUAAAGGCGUCCUCGAGACAACAGAGUAUUUAUUCUUGUUACCCACAUACGACCUAGAUCUAUAUAUUAAACUUUCGAGAUAAGGUUUGUCAAGAAUUGAAGCAUGGAUAUAAGAACUAAAAGCAAACUUAGCUCACUUGCCAAAUUUGGAAGUGGUCGUGUUGGUACUCUGGCACAUGUGAAAAGCACGAAAUCACUUGGUCCUCACGAAUAGAGCUCUAGCUCCACCAGGCAUCGUGGAUUCUGCCAGGCGACGAGCAUAAAGAUAAUGGGUCCGGUCAGGCGCGGAGGGAGGUGAAGCAAGCAAAGUCACGGCCUUCGUCAGCCUUGCCACUUGCCAGCGAGGACCAUGGCACUCUCCGUAGAUCUAGCGCUGCGGCCUUGUUGAAUUCUCUCUGUCUCUGUCUCUGUCUCUCUUCAUAUGCGGGUGCAGCGGCGACGGUGGCAGCAACAAUGGGCUGAGACAAUGGUGAGGGUCGUUGGACCGUCGUCAGUGGAUGGACGGCCCUGCCACCGGCCAAGGUACCUCCUCCUUCCCUGGUCAGGCUUAGCCACCGACUCUCCCUCUUUUUUAGGGUUUUUUAUUAUUAAAAUUUGUUUAGGAAAAGAAAACCAGAAAACCCAAACUAUUUAUAUUUACCCUAAGUUUUUUCUUUAUAACAUAAAAAAUCUCACACUAUACACUAUACUAACUAUAAUACUUUUAUCCUUAUGAGAUCAAAAAUCACAAAACUAUUAUUAUGUGAUAUAUUUACACUCCACCAAGGUUUAGUUAAAUGAUUUUUUAGUCAAAAUAAAGUCAGUUGUUUUGCUUACAUCACGUCCUUGAAAAUAGAUUUUUAACGGUGCUCAUUAAUAAAAUAUUAAUAUAAGGUAAAUAUGUUAUACAUUAAAAAUUUAGAAUUUUAGAUUUGUGGAUGUUUUUUUUUUCCUCAAUUUUUUUUUUUUUUUUGCGCGCCAGUGAUGUAUUAGAUGGGAAACGGGUCAUUCGUAUAUUUAAGGGAAGGGAAUGGAUCAGUUGAGUAUGCGAUCAAAAAAAAAAAAAAAUUGCAAAGGCGUGUGAUUGAAUAAAAUAAAGAAGCUCAAUUAAUUCUUUUAUUUAUUAAUUUUCGCAUGACCGUUACCCAACACGGUCGACAAAUUGCAGUCCUAAAGCAGUCGUCCCUUCCCUUGAAUUUGACAUAAAUUUUCAUUUACCUAGACUCAAACUCGAGAGGUAGAUUCCCAGGAAGCUACUGGGAACAAAAGAGGAAGACGAUGGACACUUUCGAUGAUCUUCCCAUUGCCUCUUCUCUAGUCAUUUUCCAAUCUCAAAGUCUUUUUCUUUCUUUCUGUUUUCCUAGGAUUCACCGGUCAAUCAAAUGACUCUUAUAUUAUAUAACUUGAAUCUUUGGUCAAUCACAAUCCUCGAUUGAAACGCAGAAGGUCCUCGGUAUUACAAAAUUAACAGACGUAAGAAGGGGAAGAAACAUUACGAAAAGAUCGUAACCCUUCAAUAAUAGGGUGUGGUCCACAAUGAUAGGAGCUUGCCACUUUCGAAUCAAAUAAAAUUGUUGCUAACAGGAUUUUAUCGAUGAGAGAAAUCAUGAUUUGUCUCUUCUCAUAUCAUUUGCAAUCAAUAUUUUGGAAAUUAUACAAUUUUCUUAUUAAGUACGCUUAAUCUCAUUAAUUGGAUCCUUACAAUAUAAAAAAGAAGUUUAGGUAUAUUAAGGGCACGUUUGAUAACAACAUUUAGUACUAAAAUUUACAAGGAAGGAGCUGCCUCAUUAAAUUCAAACGAAAUUAUUUGGUGAUAAUUAGAGUAGUAUCAAUUAUAUUGUUGAAACUUAUUAAUAAUGUUUGGUUCGCCUAUGGUAAGGAACUAAUAAUCUCCCUAACACUAAAGUUGUGGACAUAUUUAGGGCUUAAAUAUGUGGCACCCAUUUCACAAUUUUAUUGAAUGGGCCUUUGGAGGCUAAGAUGGAUUAUGAUGCGACGAGAUAAAUUUUUGUUUGGAUACUAAAUGUGAUCCACUUGUUCAAAUGUUCAAUAAUAGUUUGCCUUAUCAUCGAUUUAAUAGCUUACGGCAAACACUAAUGAAUAAUAAUUUGCCUUAAAUUAUUCUUCUCAUGGUCAGAUAAGAAUAAUUUGCGUAUAUAUCUAUAUCAAAGAAUAAUACAUGCUUUAUAAGAUGAUUAAGAUUAAGAUAUUAUCAAUUAUAAUCUCUAUAAGAUAUGCACAAUUUAUAUAAGGAAAAUGACAUAAAUAAUUCUUGAAUUUUAGUUUAAUGUGCAAUGUGAUUCGUACAUUUUUAAUUUGUUCAAUGUGGUCUUGAAAUUUUAAAUGUAGUUCUUGAACUUUCAAUUUCAUUAAUAGUUUUUUUGGACUUUUGGUACAUAUUCGCUUUAGUUCUUGAACUAUAUAAAAAGAUUCAAUGUAGUCCCUACAAUCAAAUUAAUGAAAAGAUAAUAUUGAAUAUUUUAAUAUACUUUAGGGAUUAAGUUAAACAUGUUAAGGUAAAAUUCAAAAAUAUAUUUCAGGGAGAAUAUUGAGUAUUUUAAUAUUAUCAUAUUACAUAAUAAGGUAAAAUUCAAAAAUUAUUUUGGACGAAUUAAAAGUUGAAGGACCAUCGGAUAAAAGUUGAAUGACUAUUUGUCUGGUUAUCCCGUUUAGAUAUGGAACCUCGGAAAAUGGUGAAGACUGAAAGGACAUCAUGAUAAGAAAACUUUGAUUUUGUCGGACGCGUUCUUGGGAGAAGAACCGAUCGCCGAUCUACACCUACAGCGAGGACGACGGAAGAAACAAGGUAAAUUCUGAGCGCCCGAGGUCGAAUCUGCCCGGUGGCAUCCCUGCAUCUUCAUCGGUUCCGUGUCCGUGGAGGUGUGCAGCCGAGGGGAACGUUCGCCGCAAAUCUUUCGAAGACCAGAUCACCGCGCCAUUACUCCUCCCCAGAUGUUUCAAAUUCGCAGACCCAGACGAAGCCUUUAUAUGGUUUUACCGUUGCUGCCUCUAUCUUUCACUUCGCUUUAGCCGUUGGUGCGAUAGCAGUGCAGUGAGGAACAACUUUAAUCUCCGUCCGUUCGAUGUUCGUGCCGAGACUGAAAAGCGUCAAGCUUUUCGACCCGCUCCUCCACGCGCGCCAGGGCUCCGUGCCGAGACCGGUCGUCCGAGGCCUCUUUUUUAGUGCUUUGACUCCUCGCAAGCCAAGGGCUUUAGAGGGUACGCGUGGAUUGAUGCAUUUGGUUUUUUUCUCUCGAGUUUUCAUUGUUUAAUCCUUCGUCUGUGACGACGGUAAAGCCUACCCAAUUGCCCACCUUCUGUAUUUCUUUACUUGUUUGCUUCAUGGGCAUUCGCAAUUUAGUUGUUUUUGCGUUUGGUUCUUUCUUUCUUUUUUCAGAAAGUUUUGAUUUUUCUUCGUGGGUGUGGCUGUCUUGAUGCUCUUGAGCUUUGAUUAUCAAGGAACAUCGUUACCCAAGAGUGUUUGCGAGAGAGUUGACUUAGCAAACAGAGACUAUUGAGGUCUUCCUCCUUUUUUUAAUAGUAUUGUUCUGGGUUAUUUUCUAUUUGGGUUUAUUACAUUUGAGCUAGACCAGUAGUUUCCGAUAGAAAUCAGCGGAUGAAUGGUCGCUUCAUUUGUCCAGGUUUAGCUCCUAGGGUGCCCUUUCCCAUCAGAUACAAGUCCAUCAGUGCAUCAUCAGCUUUGAGGCAAGGCAUGACUGAACAUAACGAUAGUGAGAUCGAGCAGAUUCAACUGCUCGAUGGGUUUCAGGAUUCAUAUGGAGGAGUUACUGUGGAGAUGAAGGAGCAUAUGGAUGCUGAUGUCUUUGCCCCUUUGCUCCGGGCUUCAAUAUCAAGCUGGAAACAACAGGUACCGCACUUGUAUUUCGUCGGUCUCUUCUUGUUUUUUUCAAUUUGUAACAAUAUCAAUCUGGUCUUCUGUAUUUCUUCUUAUUGGGUAUAUUUUGGUUGCAGGGGAAGAAGGGAGUGUGGAUCAAAUUGCCCAUUGAAUAUUCGCAUCUUGUUGACAUUACAGUGAAGGUACAUACAUGUUUUUUCCCGUGGCCAAGAUUUAGUAUUGGCCCCUCUUGUUAAAUCACUUUCUAGCAGGAAGUUUGAUAGGCUAAGGUAUGAAAUACACGGUUCAUUGAAAUAUUGUCUGGUAAUUUGGCAGGAAGGAUUUAGGUAUCAUCAUGCUGAAUCGAAUUACUUGAUGCUUGUCUGCUGGCUUCCUGAGACCCUGGAUACUAUUCCUGUGAAUGCUUCACAUAGGGUGGGCGUUGGUGCUUUCGUCUUGAAUGAUAAAAGAGAGGUAACUUUCUGCCUUGCCAUUGUCCCAUUUCUAGCACUCACCCUUUUAAGACUCUCUAAUAGGAAGCUGCAAAGGGAUGGAAAUGUAACAUUUGAUUUGCUCAUUCAGUUGUUCUUAGAAGUUCAGAGUUGGACUCUAGCACCUCUCUGCAGUAGUGUGUAAGACUAGAGAUUUGCAGUGCGUGAAAUCAGCCUGCUUGAUAGGCAUUGAGUCCUUUAGAAGGAUAGGUAGGAUCACAGUAAUUUCGCCUGGGAAGAAAACCUCUGCAUUCAAUGUCCAUUGGGUUUGUACGCAUGUAUGUUACCAUUGUGGAUAAGCAGAGAUAUUGGAGUGCGAUAAAUCUUCUCAUCAUAGCAACAAUCGCAUAAUCUUCUAUCUGUUUUCCUAGGGAUUCAGCUCGUGGAUAAUAGCCUUACUUUGUGAAGAGAUAAAAUGCAGUGAAGUUUUAUGCCAACUUUUGUUCAGUGCAUGCUUUUUUACUGCUUUAUCCUGUUUUCAGCGUGAUUCUUACGCAACCACACCCUAAAGAAUUUAAAACCUUUCCCUCCUUUCUAGGUGCUUGUAGUCCAAGAGCAUAGUGGAAGGUUCCAAGGUACGGGUGUAUGGAAACUCCCCACAGGAGUCGUGAAUGAGGUGAGUAUGUUUACGAUGUCAAGUGCUACAUAAGAAGUAUCCAUAUGUAAUACAAUGGUUUGACUGUGACUCCAUCCCUGUAGGGAGAGGAUAUAUGUCAUGCAGUUGUCAGGGAAGUAAAGGAAGAGACUGGAGUAAGUGAAGAGUUUUAUGUUGUGUAAAAAAGUUAAUUAUCUGAGGCAUUUCACUUGAGAAUUCCAACUAAAGCCUUAUUCUUUUACGAUCUACAGGUAGACACUAAAUUUGUUGAAGUCCUUUGUUUCAGGUAAAGAAAAUCCUCUAUUUCAGAUUGCGGUGCAUUAAUAUGUUUUGGUCUUUAUUUAGAUAUCUGUGUUUAGCCUUCUGAUGUUCAAAUUUGCUUUCGCUUUCUCACAUUCUAUCUCUUAUGUUUGAUCACAGACAAAGCCACAAAUCAUUCUUCACAAAGUCGGAUUUGUUCUUCCUUUGCAUGCUUCAGCCAGAAUCAUCUGCUAUUGAUAAACAGAAUGUAGAGAUUGAGGCAGCCCAGGUAAAUUGCACACUUGCAUAUCUUCUUGAUUUUGGUGGAAGUAUGAGGACUCUUUAAUAGUUAAAUCAUUGCUCGGGCAGUCUUGUACAACACUGGGCUGCAUGCUUUGGAUCUUGCAUUCUCGCUCAUUUGUGCUGAACAAUGAAUCUAGUAAAAUUUAAUGUAUAAUUUCUCAAGCACAUCGACGACGAGUGAUCUCGCUGGAUACCUGUUAGGAUAUAGCCAUGUAGUAGCCGUGUUAAAAGUUGAUCAUUCAUUAGUUCUUUCUUUGGCCAAAUCUAUGAACUGAACUGGAUUUGUUUUCUCUUGAUUAUAGUGGAUGCCAAUUGAGGAGUAUGCAGCACAACCUUUUGUUGUUGGAAACAAGCAAUUCAAUUUCAUGGCGAAGAUAUGCUUGGCGAAGGCUGAUCAUGGCUACCCUGGUUUUGGUGCUUUGGCCACAACAACGGGGGGUGGCAAAAGGACUUACAUCUACUGCAGUGACCCUGAAAUUGAAUAGCACUUUGCGUGUUCGAUAUAAUUCCUGCCUGGGUUGUAAUGUGGAAUUUCUUCCUUAGACCCAGGCCUACUGGACUGGACCGUGUUGAUCCCACGACUGAUUUUGUGAACACUACGUGAGCCCUAGAUGUAGGUCCCACAAAAUCAAAGGUUAGGAUGGACUCAGUCGAGUGACCUAGGACUAAGGCAAGAAUUUUCCAGUUGUGAUGUCGCAUGACCAUUGAUGGUGGCCAACUGGGGGGGCUUAUGGAGGAGGCGGCCAAAGCUCUUGAAGAUGGGAAGAUCGAUGUCCAUUCUGAUCUAAAUUUGUUAUAGUUUGGUUCAAACACUUCAGAAUUAUCUUCAACUUCAAUUCAUGUCCUCAAGUAAUAAAAUCAAUUUAGACUUAGCAUUAUUUUUAAAUAAAUAGCUUAGGCUUAGCUUAAUCAAAUUGAAUAGAACUAGGCUCGCCUUAGUUUUCUUAACAAGCUUCCAUGGGCUUAUGUCUUGAAGCUUAAUAACAAAGCUAUGUUUGUAUUGGGUUUUUCAUUUCUAUAACACUCGAUGAAUUGCGAGUUUACUUUUAUUGCACUUAGAAUAACUUAUUCUUUCAUUUCAAUGGAUGUUUACUUAUCGCACUGCAUUUCAAUACAUUGUUUGUUAAUUUAUCUUUCUUGGUUAGAAUUAUAAGUACUUUAAAUUUUCAAGGGACCUACCUACAAAAAGAUUUGCAUAGACAUUUAGGGUCCGUUUGUUUUGUGGAAAAUGUACAAUUUCUAGAAAAUACCUAUCAAGAAGUCAUCUUCUAUCGGUAUUUGAUUGAAACGUCAAAAUCAAUCAAAAAAUAUUUUUCGCUAUUUGUUGUGGAGAAUUUGAUUUGAUUUUUAUGAGGAAAAUUACUAAAAAAUAUGAUUUUUUUAAUUCUUGAUUUUAAAUUACUUCUAAUUUUUAAUUAUAUAUAUUCUUUUUUUUCCAUUAUUUCUCUUAUUUAUGGUAAGUUUAACGAUUUGAUCGUAAUUUUUGAAAGUUUUAAGACUCAAUUGUACUUUUAUAAUAAGUUUAAGAAUUUCUAGUACACUUAUCCAUUUAUAAAACUAUAGAGCAUAGCAUCUUUUUAAUAGAAGAAUAAUGAAGUUAAACUUAUACUAUGUUUGAAGAAAGGGAGGAUUAGGUUUCAGGGAUUUGCUUUCCCUUUAAGAAGGCAAUACCGAGAAAACAAGCUUGAAGACUAACUCAAAGUCCCUCAUCACUCUCAUGCCGGCCAUUGAAAUGAAUUUACUUUCCUUGUAUAGAUUUUUGGCAUGUAGAUAAAGGAGCAUGCCCCUUUUAGGGAUGGUAGAGCUUGCUCGUAGGAAGAGAUUUAGAGUGUGUUUGGUUUAGCAUUCCCAAUGGGCUUUAGAGGCUGGAAACCCCUUGGGAAAAUGAUGGGUCGUUUGGCAAUCAUUUUGAAGUAGCUUUCAAGUGAAAGUCAGCAUUAGGAAGGCUGAAAGUCCUAUGUUAGUAAGGAUUAGCUUUGAGCUUUCAGCAUUUGGCCAAAUGCUAAAACUUAUUUUUUUUUCCAAAACUAUCAUCACUCAUUUUUCAAAUUUCUUAUUUUGCCCUCAUUAUUAUUUUUUAAAAUGCCCAAAAUAAUGCUAAAAAAAGCAAAUUUAUAUAAAUGCUAAAAAAAAUUAAAUAUAUUUUGGUCUUUUAAAAAAAAUUAUUUAUAUAUUUGAUUUUUUUAGCAUUAUUGUCAAAAUUUAUAUUUAAAAAGCUGCAUACAUGAUUUUUUCAAUUUUAAAUAAAUACAAAUUAAAAAAUUCCGACAAAGGGUUUGGUCUUUUAAAAAAAAAUUAUAUAUAUGUAUUUGAUUUUUUAGCAUUAUUUUCAAAUUUAUAUUUAAAAAGUUACAUACAUUAUUUUUUCAAUUUUAAACAAAUAAAAAUUUCGAUGAAAGAUUUGGUCUUUUUUUUUUUAAAUAUAUAUGUAUGUAUUUGAUUUUUUUUGGUAUUAUUGUCAAAAUUUAUAUAUAAAAAGUUGCAUACUUUAUUUUUUUCAAUUUUAAACAAAUGAAUUAAAAAAAAAACUAAUAUUAAUCACACAAAGGGCUUUUUAAAUGUGUUUUCUACCAAUCGGCAUUUCUCUCAAAGUUACUUCUUAAAGUAUAGUUUACCAAACGGCCUUUGUAUUUACCUAAAGUCUUUUAGGCUAAAUUAUUUUGCAUUUUCCCAAUGGGCUUUCAAAAUAUUGAACCAAAUGCACCCUUAAUCUCUCACUUAGUACAUUGUUCAGUACUAGAGGUGUUAAAUGGGUUGUGCAAUCCAUUUAUGGACCCAUUUAAGCAUAAAUGGGUCGUUAAUGGGUCGGCCUCAUUUCUUAAGACACCCUGAUGGGUUUUUAAAAAAAAAGAACUAAAAUAAAUGGGUCUUAAAUGGGUACCCAUUUAAGACCCAUUUACAAAACCCAUUAAAGUCUGAAGAUGGGUUCAUCUGAUUAACCCACGUCCCGCGAUCUCGAUUCUCUACUCUACCCUACUCGGCUACCCCUUUUCGCUUCCACGAACCCAUCGUUGCCUCAUCGCCGCUUGCCACCGCCCAUUGUCGAGCACAAGCUCCGCACUGUCGGUAAUCUCUCCAGUCCCUUCGUUUCCUCUACUCGAAUCCAGAGCUGUUCCUUGCGCGUUGCGCCGGAGCCGGAUUUUUUUUCGCUCUCUUCUGUUUUUCCGAUUUCUUCUUCUCUUUUGAUAAAUUCUUCUUGGGGGGUGGGAUUUGCAGGUUCUCUGUGGCUGAGCGGGAUCGCGGGCUCGAUCGCCUACAACUGGUCGCAGCCCAACAUGAAGACCAGCGUCAAGAUCAUUCAUGCCAGGUACAUACCCUUAUCUUUUGUGACGUUUUGUUAGUUUGGAUACGGAUUUUGGAACCCAUUUCCCCUGUAAUUUUUAGCUUCUUACUGAUUGGAUUACUUGUCUCUGGUUGGGGAAAUUUGUGCCCUUUGCUUGUCCUUUGCAUUCUCCCAUCAGCAGAUAGGGAGAAGGGCAAAAGUAGAAAAAAUGGGCAUAUCGAGUUGGCUUGAUGUAUUUAUGGUUUUCCUGUUGGGGUUGAGAAGAUGUUAUGUUUAAAUUAUAUGUGCUAUGUAGAUUCUGGCUUAAUGGAUGUCCAGCACAGUUCUGUGUACACUUUCUCUGGUGACUGCUAAAGCUAUCGAGUGUGCUUUGUUAAUUUGUUCAAUAGCUUUCUUCCUUAUCCCUAGAAAUGGUUUGUCCUUUUUGUACAACUUACUAUGAACAAUUCUUCUUUUGCAUUGUCUAUUUGGUUAUUCCAUCUGAUUCUUGCGUAUUUUCAUUUAAGUACUUGUUGAUGUUGGUGGAAAACAGAUGGGCCGGGUGGAACUCCGGGAUGUUAAUCGUAAAGAAGAGUUUGUGAGGAGGAUUGUGUUAGGGAAAUCCCUUAUGAUGUUUUGAAGAUGACAAAAUAAAUCAAAGGCUACUAACAUGUUUGAUGGUUGAGUAAUAGACCGUGCAGAUGUUAGAACAUGUAGAGGAUAUUAUCAAAGUCAGAAGACGGCCAGAAGACUGAACGUAACAUAUGUCCAGAGUAUAUUUUGAAGAUUUCCAGACUUCUGUGUCAAAGUCUGAAGACUGCCAGACUCAAGACUCAAAGUCUGAAGACUAUCAGACUUUAGUGUCAAAGUCUGUUCUACAUCAGAAGUCUGCUCACUCUGACAAAUUCCAGACUGAACGUGAAUGAUGAACCAGAAGACAGACUCUAUGCUGAAGCUGAACCAGAAGACAGACUCUAUGCUGAAGCUGAACUGGGUACAGAUCUUAAAGCUAAAUCUGUUCAGAAGCAAAUAUGUUCAGACCCAGAUUGUAAAGUCUACAGACUCAGAUUGUAAAGUCUAUGGCUAUCAAACUUUACAUCCAGAUUCAACAGAUCGUAACUCAAGCCCAAUCAUACAACGGCUAGUGAUCUGGUUUGGAUUCCACAUCAAGAUUGAUUUGAUUGAUUCAAUCUAAUUGAUUGACGAUUGGAUCUUGAAGACAAGAUCUUUCUAUACGAAGAAGCUUUACUUAUGGAAACCAAGAUUCCGUUUGUAUGGGCAAUCGGAAUCAAUUGGGGAUUUUACCUUUGUCACUCAACGGCUACCAAAUCUUCUAAAUACAGAGCUGUCCAAUGGGUAUAUUGGAAGACGAUUCUCCGGGAUGCUGUCCAACGGCUAGUUUGGAAGUGGAGGAGUAUUUAAGGAGAUGAAGGACCGAUGAGCAAGUAAGAGACGGAGCGUAGAAUUUAUAAUUCUAAAGUCUGAGCGACUUUCGAUCAUAUACUUGUCUCUUGAGAGCUUAAACGUUUGUAAUCGUGAGAGAAAUACUAAGAAAGUGACUUAGUGAGAUAGUGUGAUCUACUACUAAGUGUUUGCACUCGAAGUUGUAAUCUCUUGUUGAUUGCAUAGUGGAAUCCAGCCAAGAAGGCUGUUAGCGUGGGAGAGUGGACGUAGGCUUGGAUUAAGCCGAACCACUAUAAAUCUUGUGUUCUUAUUCUCUUCCCUAACUCUUUUAUUUUGUUCAUACUAGCACUCUCAGAUUGAAGAAGCUGCAAGAAGUAAUCUGAUCUUGAUUUUCAGCUAACUAAUAGUGAAGUAGCACAUAUAAUGAUGUAUUCUUGGUAUACGUUUGUGGCCUCUAUAGGACUGGGAAGCUACAGUUCCAUGCAAGUGAUAAUGAGAUUGUGCAACAACGUGACAAAGUAAUGAGGAUAUUAACUUUUAUAGUUCUAAGUUCCCCUUGAGACUCACAUAAUCCAACCUAUUUUUUUUUGGUUUUUGAUGUGCAUAGUNNNNNNNNNNNNNNNNNNNNNNNNNNNNNNNNNNNNNNNNNNNNNNNNNNNNNNNNNNNNNNNNNNNNNNNNNNNNNNNNNNNNNNNNNNNNNNNNNNNNGCUUGCCCAGCCACGGUGAGGCUCGCCGGCCCCCAGCAAGGCCGAGCUCGCCCAGCCACCGGUCGCCUGGUAGCUCGCCCAGCCACCGGUCGCCUGGUAAGUGGCCUGGCGAGGCCAAGCCUCGCCAGGGGCCGGUGACACUCCGGCGAGGUCGCCGGCCCUCGACAGCCGGUUGCUAGUCAUGGACGAGGCCAACGACCGGCCAAAGAAAAAAGAAAGAGAAGAAAAGAAAGAAGAGAGAAAAUUUAUUUAUCCAAAUUGUUCCAGAAACAAGAAACACGUUUUUUUUUGUUUCUUGUCUCUGUUUCAAUUUUGUUCAUGGGAAUAAAAAAACAUAUUUGGAACAAAAACGCAAACAAAUGCGUUUCUGUUCUUUUUUUGUUCCCAGGAACAAAAAAACAGGAUUUUUGUUCAUAAACAAAAAAAAAAGAGUACAAACAUACAGGCCCUGACACUCCCUCUUUUUUGGGGUUUUUUAUUAUUGGAAUUUGUUUAGUACAAAAACCAAAAAACCCAAACUAUUUACAUUUAGCCUAAACUUUCUUUGUAACAUAAAAAAUCUCAAAUUAUGCUAACUAUAAUACUUUUACCUUUAUGAUAUCAAAAAUUGCAAAACUCUUAUUGUGUGAUAUAUUUACACUUCAUCAAAGUUUAAUUAAAUGAUUUUUCAGUCAAAAUGAAGUCAUUUAUUUUGCUUAAGCCACGUCCAUGAAAAUAGAUUUUUAGUGGCACUCAUUGACCGAAUAUUAAUGUAAGGUAAAUAUGUCAAAAUUUUGGAAUUUUAAGUUUGAGGAUGUUUUUUCUUUAAAAAAAAAAAGAAGGAAAAUUUAUUGCUCUCGAGUGAUGUAUUAGAAGGGAAACGGGUCCUUCCUAUGUUUAAGGGAAGGGAAUGGAGUAGUUGAGUGUGCAAUUGGAUAAAAGAAAAUUUCAGAGGCGUGUGAUUGAAUAAAUUAAAGAAGCUCAACAACUACGGACUGCUUAAUUCUUUCAUUUAUUAAUUUUCGCAUGACCAUUAGCCAAGACGGUCGACAAAUUGCCGUCCUAAAGCAGUUAUCCCCGCCCUUGAUUUUGACAUAAAUUUUCAUUUACCGUGACUCAUUCUCAAAAGGUAGAUUUCCAUGAAAGGUACCAAAAACCAAAAGAGGAAGGCGACGGACACUUUCGAUGAUCUUCCCAUUGCCUCUUCUCUAGUCGUUUUCCAAUCUCAAAGUCUUGUCAUUUCCAUUUUCCUAGGAUUCUUCAGUCAAUUAAAUGACUCUGAUAUUAUAAAACUUGAAUCUUUGGUCAAUCAUAAUAAACUAUUGAAACGUGGAAGGUCCUUAGUAUUACAAAAUUAAUAGACAUAAGAAGCAAGCGGAAGAAACAUUAUGAAAACAUUGUUAGUAACGCUUCAAUAAUAAGGGGGAAAUUAUAAAAAAAAGUCCUAAAUUUAUUGUAAUUGUGUCGGUUUAGUUCUAAACUUUUUUUUUUUCAUCAAUUGAGUCAUGAACCUUUUACAAUUAUUCUCGAUCAGUCCAUCCGGCAAAAAUUAUCCGGCCAGCGCUGAUGUGGCACCUGGUCGGCACUGGCAAACUUUUUUUUUAAUAAUAUAUUUUAUUUUUUGAAAUAUUUUUUGAAAUAUUUUAUCUUUUUUUUUUUUUCCUUUUUCCUCUUUUUCCCCCCUUCUCCCUCUUCCUUCUUCCUCCCUCCUCCCUCCUCCUUCCUUUGGCUCCGGUGACUAGCCAGUCACUGGACUGAGGCGAUUUGGUGAGCUCGCGCCCAAUGACAGUGGGGCGAGCCCCCACCGGAUUUGGCAAGGGCUCGCCUCGCGGUCAUCGAGCGACGCGAGCUCUCGCUAGAUUCGGCGAGGAGGGCAAUGCGGUGAGCCCUCGCCGGAUCCGGCGAGGGCUCACCCCGCAGUCGUUGGACGUGAGCUUGCCAACGAGCAAGGUUUCACCCUGUUGUCACUGGGCGUGAGCUUGCCGACUGGCGAGGCGAGCCCUCGCUAGACCCAGUGACGGUGAGGCCCCCCUCGCCGGAUCUGGUGAGGGCUCGCUUUGCUAGUGGUUGGGGCGAGCUCGUCCUCACGCAGGACGAUGAGGCGAGCUAACCCAGCCGCCUCAGUCCUGGCGACGAGCCAUCCUUGCCUUUGGUCAGACGCAGUAGCCAAUGAAAAAGAAGGGCAGACGAAGAGGAGAAGGGAGAAGAGGGGGCUCGAGACUGCAGAUCACAAACUCUCACGACUGAUAGACUCCUAAAUAUUAUUAAAAAAGGUCACCANNNNNNNNNNNNNNNNNNNNNNNNNNNNNNNNNNNNNNNNNNNNNNNNNNNNNNNNNNNNNNNNNNNNNNNNNNNNNNNNNNNNNNNNNNNNNNNNNNNNNNNNNNNNNNNNNNNNNNNNNNNNAUUUUCUUAUAAUAAGAUGAUGGUCCACAAAAAUAGGAGCUUGCCACUUUUGAAGCAAAUGAAAUCAUUGCUAACAUGAUUUUGUUAAUAAGGGUUCUCAUCAGUUGUCUUUUCUCAUGUCAUUCACAAUUAAUGUUUUGAAAAUCGUACAAAUUUUGUAUUAAGUAUGCUUAAUCUCAUUAAUAAUAUCCUUACAAAAUAAAAAGAGUUUAGGUAUAUUGAGGGCGUGUUCGAUAACCACAUUUAGUAUUACAAUUUAUAAGGAAAGAGCUGCUUAGUUAAAUUCAAAUGAAAAUAUUUAGUGAGAAUUAGGGUAGUACCAAUUAUAUUGCUAAAACUUAUUAAUAAUGUUUGGUUCAUGAUCGAUGAGGAACUAAAAAUCUCCCUAACUAUUCAUAGUGAAACCACCAUUUAAUUCCACUUUCAACACUAGAGUUGUGGACAUAUUUAGUGCUUAAAUAUGUAGCAGCCAUUUUACAAUUUUAUUGAAAUGAGCCUUUGGAGGCUAAGAUCGCUAUUAUGCAACGAGAUAAAUUUUAGUUGGAUAUUAAAUGUGAUCCACUUAUUUUAUUUUAUUUUAUAUUUUUUUUGGGUCCGUGAUCCACUUGUUCAUACGUUCAGUAAUAAUUUGCCUUUUCAUUGAUUUAAUAGUUGACGGCAAACACUAAUGAAUAGUAAUUUGCCUUAAAUUAUUUUCAUCAUAUAUUUCUAUAUUAAAGAAUAAUACAUGCCUUAUAAGGUGAUUAAGAUAAAGAUAAUAUCAAUUAUAAUCUAUUAAAGAUAAGCACAAUUUAUAUAGGAAAAAUGACACAAAUAAUCCUUGAACUUUAAUUAAUAUGUAAUGUGGUUUUUAAACUUUAAAUUCAUUCAAUAUGAUUCCCAAACUUUCAAUUUGUUUAAUUUGUUUAAUAUAAUUUUUGGACUUCUUGUACAUAUGCAGUUUAGUCCCUAAACUAUAUAAAAAAAUUCAAUGUAGUCCCCACAUAUAAAUUAAUGAAAAGAUAAUAUCGAACAUUUUCAUAUAAUUAAAGAAUUAAGUUAAAUAUGUACCAAAAUUUUAGUAUCAUAUUUAUAAAUUAAAAAAUUUAGGAUCAUAUAUAUAUUAGACUAAAUUUGAUGAUCAUAUUAAAUAAAUUAAAAAUUUAUGAACCACAAUAAAACUUCAAGCUUCAGGGUUAUCUGUGCUCUUAUUCAAUUCAUACAUGCAACCCUGAAGAUGACGGAGAAUGAAAUAACAUCGCAAUUGUCAAAAGUCUGUCAUUAUGUCAUGUCAGACGCGUUCUUGCGGUGAACCCGGGAGAAGGGCCAAUCGCCAGUCCACACCUCCACAACGAGGAAAAGCCCAAGACAGACGGCGACGACCCAAAAACAUAGUAGAUUCUGAGCCUCCGAGUGUCGACUCUAGUCCUUCCUUCGUCUCUGCAACCGCGAAGGGGGUCUCCCCCCCUGGCCGCGGGGAAUUUCCGCGGUUUCCUUGGAUUCCGUGUCCGUUGAGGACUGGAACCAACGGGGGAACAUUCGCAGCAAAUAUUUCGAAGGCCCAGGUCACACGCCAUUCCUUCUCCCCCGAUUGCGCAACUCCCCAGACCUAGAAGAANNNNNNNNNNNNNNNNNNNNNNNNNNNNNNNNNNNNNNNNNNNNNNNNNNNNNNNNNNNNNNNNNNNNNNNNNNNNNNNNNNNNNNNNNNNNNNNNNNNNUCAAGGAUUAGAUGCUGUGGAUCCAACGUGUUGGGUAUUGUGUGUAUCAUCAAUGUGGACUCCACACACAUUAUGUCACAUCUAUUUUAAAACAAGUUAAAUGGGUCGGGCCGCCCAGCCGUCAUCGUGGCCCGGUGACCGGCCAAAGAGAAGAAGAAGAAAAAAUAAAAAGGAAAAAGAAAAAUUAUAUUUAAAAAAUAAAAAUAAUUUAUUUUUAAAAAAAUAAGAAAUAAUUAAAAUUCGAUUUUUUAAAAUAAUUAUUUUAAAAAUUUUAAAAAUUGUCCAUUAAAUUUGUGUUUUAUAAAAUUAUUUUAGCAAUACCAUUUUAUAUAUAUAUAUAUAUAUAUAUAUAUAUAUAUAUAUAUCUAUAUCUAUAUCUAUAUCUAUAAUAAAUUAAGUUUAGUUAAAUGGGUUGGGUAUGGGUUGGGUAUGGGUCAAAAUUUUUGCAUUGUAAUAAACGAGUUAAUGGGUCGAUUUGGGUCGGACCAUUUAUGACCUGACCCAAACCCGACCCGACCCACCCGUUUAACGGGUAUACAGUAUGUAAUGAAGCUAACAUAACAAUUAGAGAAGACAAAUGGCUGAAAAAGAUGGGUGCUUGGAGGUCCUGCUCCUAGAGGUGAGCCACUAGUGGCAGUUGAUCUAAUUAACAAGGAGGAGAACGUAUGGAAUGUUAAGCUUCUUGAGGAUAAUUUUGACGUUAAAUUGUCAAUAAAAUCCUAUCUAUUCCAAUGAGGACUCAUAUAGCAAAAGAUUAGAUUGUAUGGACAUGGAUUCAAUCGGACAAAUAUUCAAUCCAAAGAGGAUAUAAUCGCAUAAGAGGGUUAGAUGACAAGCCUAGCUAGAUUCAAGCAUUUUCCUCCAUUCAAGUUCCUUACCGUCUAUGGAAGGAGAUAUGAAACUUGUGUAACACCCCUAAAGUCAAAUUAUGUAUGUGGUCCUUAUGUCAAAAUGCUCCACUUAUGAAGGAGAACCUAUUUGAAAUAUGAAUUGUACCCAAUUCGAUGUGUGCAUUGUGCAAUGAAGGCAUCCCUAAGAAAACAAAGCAUUUAUUCUUGUUAUACCCAUGGACAACCCACAUCUAUAUAUUAAACUUUUGACAUAAGGUUUGUCAAGAAUUGAAGCAUGGAUAUAAGAAUUAGAAGCAAACUCAGCUCACUCGCCCAAUCUGGAAGCGGUCGCGUUGGUGCUCUGGCACAUGUGAAAAGCACUAAAUCACUUCGUCCUCAUGAACAGACCUCUAGCUACACUAGGCGUCAUGGAUUAUGCAUUCACAAACUCAAAGAUUUCCAAAAAUUGGGGACUUAACACAACACCUACAGAACUUUUGGUCUCCACCAUAGCUCGGGUCAUUGAAAAUUAAAGUCGACAGAGCAUACAAUCCUUGAUCGACGAAUAGAAUCAUUGCUUGCAUUUGUCGUGAUCACUCGACAAGGCUUGUCGAUGGAUUUGCAAGAACUGUUUAGGCAUGGAUUUGCAAGAACUGUUUAGGCUUCAUCACCUUUUCGAUGGAGUGUCAUAUGUCGCUUUAAACCUAGUGUCCUUGUUGCCAAGAAAGAAAAUCUUUCGAUUGAGUCCCAUAAUCUCUGGUUAAUCAAUAUCCAUGGGAAGUUUGUAUACUGAUCACUAAGUGUCAUGGUCUGUUGCUCAACUUCUUAAAUAUCUAGUUUCAACAUUGCUAUAAAGAGGCAACUCCAUUGGGGACUUGGAAAGCCAAAGCCAUAGGAGAAAUUCCCUUCCACUAAUUUGGGUUAUUUCACCUCCCUUAAUUCUUUGGAACUUUUAUGUACUGAAACCCUUUUACAAGGCCCCUUUGGUUUUACUAGUUGAAUGAAAUGAGCUUUAUUUUGACAAAAAGGAAAAAGAGGCUGAUUGGAAAAAAAUUUCUUGCUUAGAUAAUUUCAUAUUAUUUUUUUUCGUCAAUUUCAAAGGAGGCGGUUUUUUUUUUCCUAAGAGAGUUCGACACAAACAAUCAUUAUAUUGUUCUACACGGUUUUAUUGGAGAAGCUAACUUUUUCCGCACUCAUAUUUUGCAUAUAUUUCCAUUCUAAAUUAUUAACUAAAUUCUCACUAUUAGCACAUGAUGUACACAUUUUCUUAGAACAUAUUGCCUUUUUCUUUUGUUUUCAACUUUUCUUUCCUGACGUGUACUCGUUCAAUUAUCAAUAACCAAUCAUUAAUAUAACCAUUGCCAAGUCGGCCACCGAUUUCUCCUUAGAAUAGAUCUCUUUUAUCUCAAUUCCAAAUAUCUACCGCCUAGAAAGACGGUUUGCAUGUCUACUGCCCAACAUCAUAUUUUAAUUGGGGAAGAAAGACAUCGACAGUUCUUUAACUUUUUUUUUUUUUCAAUUUGGGGUAUCAUCAAAUAAAACAUUUGAUGGCAAGUUGAUCGAUUAAUUCCAUAAGAAAUAGUAAUUAGUACCCGGUUUAAUUAAUACCACAACCGAAUCCACUUUCAUUUUGAUAAUCAAUGCUGACAAUUCUUGAAUUUUUUUUAUUUCAAUUUGGACUAUUGUUGAAUCCCAUAUAUAUAUAUAUAUAUAUAUAUAUAUAUAUAUAUAUAUAUAUGANNNNNNNNNNNNNNNNNNNNNNNNNNNNNNNNNNNNNNNNNNNNNNNNNNNNNNNNNNNNNNNNNNNNNNNNNNNNNNNNNNNNNNNNNNNNNNNNNNNNNNNNNNNNNNNNNNNNNNNNNNNNNNNNNNNNNNNNNNNNNNNNNNNNNNNNNNNNNNNNNNNNNNNNNNNNNNNNNNNNNNNNNNNNNNNNNNNNNNNNNNNNNNNNNNNNNNNNNNNNNNNNNNNNNNNNNNNNNNNNNNNNNNNNNNNNNNNNNNNNNNNNNNNNNNNNNNNNNNNNNNNNNNNNNNNNNNNNNNNNNNNNNNNNNNNNNNNNNNNNNNNNNNNNNNNNNNNNNNNNNNNNNNNNNNNNNNNNNNNNNNNNNNNNNNNNNNNNNNNNNNNNNNNNNNNNNNNNNNNNNNNNNNNNNNNNNNNNNNNNNNNNNNNNNNNNNNNNNNNNNNNNNNNNNNNNNNNNNNNNNNNNNNNNNNNNNNNNNNNNNNNNNNNNNNNNNNNNNNNNNNNAAUGCUCAUUACGUUGUCGUUAAACUUGAUGGGACAUAAGACUCAUAUAUAGCACUUUUUCUAUUUAAAAAAGAGAAUUCUGGGAAAAAUAAAAGAACAAGCACCAGCGGAGGGAAGGAAAGGGGCUGCUGUUGCGAAAGAGGCGGCCGGAAAUCCUCGCAAGGUCACCCGAUCCCAGCGGGUGGCGAGGGAUGCGAAGCAUCCGAGGAGGGACUUGAUCAUGGGUUUUUCCUUGCGAGGGAUGAUGAGACCAUCUGUUCCAGUAGAGAUCUCGGGUGGAUCUAUCUUGGUGGUUCUCAGGUUGUUUCGUUGCUGUUGCCGGCGUCAGCGGCAAAGAAGCGACGGUGAGUUUAGGUGGCGGAGGUUGAGCAGGGCAGCAACCCCGACGGCCAUGGAUUCGCACGAACCUGAUGUUUAUUACCUUCUCUGCAGCUACCAUAAACAGAUCUGAGAGCGCGCAUCUCUCUCUCCGUCCCUCUUUCUCUCCCUCUCCAUACGCGACGAGCAUAAAGAUAAUGGGUCCGGCCAGGCGAGGAGGGAGGUGAAGCAGGCGAAGUCACGACCUUCAUCAGCCUCGCCACUUGCCGGCGAGGACCAUGGCACUCUCCGCAGAUCUAGCGUUGCGGCCUUGCUGAAUUCUCUCUCUCUCUCUCUCUCUCUUCAUAUGAGGGGGCGGUGGUGGCGGCGGCGGCGGCAACAAUGGGCCGAGACAACAUCGGUGGAUAGAGGCCCUGCCACCGGCCGAGAUACCUCCUCCUUCCUUGAUUAGGCUUAGCCACUAGGGCGCGUUUGGUAACGUUUCUGUUAAAAAAUUGUUCCAGGGAACAGAAAUAGAAAAAAUUAUUUCUGCUCUGGAGAACAAUUUUUGAAAAGAAGACAGCGUUUGGUAAACUUGUUCCGGGAAUAAAAAAUGAGCAGAAACACUUCUGCGGCAGAUUUGGCCGAGCAACGCUCGCUCGAGGGACGGCUCGCCGCGCCGAAGGGGGAGCAGUGCCGACCGGAGAAGGAGCGCCGAAGGGGGAGCGACGCUCACCGGAGGAGGAGGGCCGAACGGAGAGCAACGCUGACCGGAAACGUACCUGGAGUCGCCGGAGUGAGGAGUCGCCGGAGAGUUAGUCGAGUGGGAGCCGCCGGAGAGAUGGAAGACAUGCCGGAAACGGAAGAACGAAGCUUCAGCCGAGAGGAGCGACGACGAGCACGCACGAAGAGUUCUUCGCUUUGUUCCGAAUUUGUUCUUUUGUUUCUUUCGUUUUUGUUCUUUUGUUCCGUCGAAGAAGUGUUUCUUUUCAAAAGAAACAACUUUUUUUUGUUUCUUUUUUCUGUUCCUAUUUCGUUCCAGAAACAAAAAAACAAAAAAGGAACAAAAACGCAACCAAACGCGUUUUUGUUCCUUUUUUGUUCCCGGGUACACUUUCCGUACAAAAGUGUGCCGGAAACGUUUCUUAGAAACGUUUCCAUGCACGCCCUUUGUGUUCUUUUUUUUGUUUCUUUUAAUUUUUUAAUAUUUUUAUUUUAUUUUUCUUAUUUUUCUUUCUUUUUUCUUAUUUUUCUUCUUUUGGUCGGUUGCCCAAGGCGAGCUCGGGCUUGCCCAAAUUCGGCGACCCGAGCUCGCCCAGCCUUGCCCCGCGCCGGCGAGGCCGAGCCUCGCCAGGGGCCGGCGACGCUCCGGUGAGGUCGCCGGCCCUUGACGGCGUCGCCAGCCAAAGAAAAAAGAAAAAGAAAAGAAGAAGAAAAAGAGAAGAAAAAGAGAGGAGAGAGAAAAUUGUUCCAAAAACAAGAAACACGUUUUUCUUGUUUUUUGUUUCUGUUCCAAAUGUGUUCUUAGGAACAAAAAAAUAGAUUUUGAACAAAAACGCAAAUAAACGCAUUUCUAUUCUUUUUUUGUUCCCUAGAACAAAAAUACAGAAAUUUUGUUCAUAAACAGAAAUAAAGAACGUUAACAAACAAGGCCUUAACGUGUGUUUUUUUUUUGGUAAGGUAGGCCUUAACGUGUGUUUAUUUGUGUUUCUAUUCAAAAAUUGUUCCAAGGAACAUAAAUAGAAAAAACNNNNNNNNNNNNNNNNNNNNNNNNNNNNNNNNNNNNNNNNNNNNNNNNNNNNNNNNNNNNNNNNNNNNNNNNNNNNNNNNNNNNNNNNNNNNNNNNNNNNGAAGAUUAACUAAGUAUAAUCGACCCACUCCUCGCGCGCCAGGGCUCCGUGCCGAGACCGGUCGUCCGAGGUCUCUUUUUUAGUGCUUUGACUCCUUGCGAGUGAAGGGCUUUAGAGGGUACGCGUGGAUCGAUGCAUUUGGUUUUCUCUCUCCACUUCUCAUUGUUUAAUCCAUCGUGUGUGGCGACGGCAAAGCCUACCCAAUUGCCCACCUUUCGUAUUUCUUUAUUUGUUUGAUUCAUGGACAUUCGCAAUUUAGUUGGUUUUUGUGUUUGGUCCUUUUUUUUGUCAGAAAGUUUUUAUUUUUCUCCAUGGGUGUGGCUGUCUUGAUGCUCUUUAUAUUAAAGCAUGUCUCGAGUUUGAGUUUAACGUGAAAUUCUAAAUAUUCCGAAUUGGAUAUGUUGCGGACGUUCAAAAUUGAGCAAAAAAGAUUCGAAUAUCAACUUCUCAAAAUUCGAAUCUGCGUUGAAGAGUUUGGCCACUGAAAUAGGAAAGUCCAACUUUCACUAGGAUUUGGAUUUUGUUUAAAAUAUAUAGGAAUAUAUUUUGGUUAAAAUAGGUAAGUUAAGAAACAGAAUCCUAUGAGAAGUCAGCAAAAGAAUAAGAUCCCACUUAUAUAUAUAGACUCGUGGUUGUGGAUGGUAGGAAUUUAAUAAUGAAAAAUUGGUCUUGAAGCACUAAGUUCUUGGGAGGAUUUUCUUUAAAUUUAGUGUUGAAGCCAAUUAAAUGUUGUGGUAAGAUUUGCAUGUAAUUUUUUCGUGAGAUUGAGAGAUUAUUUCUUGAGGAAUUCGGGGCUAAACACUACGUGUGUUAUUGGGUGCGAGUGAGUGUAAUUGAGGUUGGAAAAUACCGAGAGAGAAUGUUUGAGAGACUCGAGUGUGUAAUAUUCUUAUAUCGCUUGAUCUAUAGUAAAAUUCAUUACUGCUCUCCCCAUGGACGUAGAUUUUUACAACCGAACCAUAUAAAUCUGAUGUCCGAUUUAUCUUAUUCUGUCUAUAUUACUGUUCGAUUAUUCGCCUUUUCGCAACACUUUGUGUAUCCAUUGGAUGAGUGACUAGUGAGGUUCUUGGUUGUUCCUGGACAAAUAUAUAUUGAGAAAAAUGAACAUCAUCACCCAAGGGAGUGUUUGCGAGAGCGUUAGACUUAGUAAACAGAGACUAUUGAAGUGUUCCUCCUCCUUUUUUAUAUUAUUAUUAUUAUUAUUAUUUUUUUUUUAUAGUUCUGUUCUGGGUUAAUUUCUAUUUGGGUUUAUUACUUUACUUUUGAGCUAGACCAGUUGUUUCCGAUAGAAAUCAGUGGAUGAAUGGUCGCUUCAUUUGUCCAGGUUUAGCUCCUAGGGUGCCGUUUCCCAUCAGGUACAAGUCCAUCAGUGCAUCAUCAGCUUUGAGGCAAGGCAUGACUGAACAUAACGAUAGUGGGAUCGAGCAGAUUCAACUGCUUGAUGGGUGUGAGGAUUCAUAUGGAGGAGUCAGGGUGGAGAUCAAGGAGGAUAUGGAUGCUGAUGUCAUGAAAGCUGAUGUCUUUGCAUCUUUGCUCCGGGCUUCAAUAUCAAGCUGGAAACAACAGGUACCGCACUUGUAUUUCAUCUGUCUUGUCAGUUUGUUUUUUUCGAUUUGUAACAAUAUCAAUCCGGUCUUCUGUAUUUCUUCUUACCGGGUAUAUUUUGGUUGCAGGGGAAGAAGGGAGUGUGGAUCAAAUUGCCCAUUAAAUGUUCACAUCUCGUUGACGUUAUAGUGAAGGUACAUACAUGUGUUUUUUCAUGGCCAAGAUUUAGUGUUGGCCUCUCUUGUUCAAUCGCUUUCUAGCAGGAAGUUUGAUAGGUUUAGGUAUGAAAUACAAGGUUCAUUGAAAUAUUGUCCGGUAAUUUGGCAGGAAAAUUUUAGGUAUCAUCAUGCUGAAGCAGAUUACUUGAUGCUUGUCCGCUGGCUUCCUGAGACCCAGGAUACUAUUCCUGCUAAUGCUUCACAUAGGGUGGGUGUUGGUGCUUUCGUCUUGAAUGAUAAAAGAGAGGUAACUUUCUGCCUUGCCAUUGUCCCGUUUCUUGCACUUGCCCUUUUAAGACUCUAAUAGUAAGAUGCAAAGAGAUGGAAAUGUAACAUUUGAUUUGCUCAUUCAGUUGUUCUUAGAAGUUCAGAGUUGGACUCUAGCACCAGACUUCUCUUGCGGUAGUAUGUAAGACAGGAUAUUUGCAGUGUGUAAAAUCAGCCUGCUCGAUAGGCAUAGAAUCCUUUAGAACGAUAGGUAGGAUCACUGUAACUUUGCCUGGGAAGAAAACCUGUGCAUUCAAUAUUCAUUUGAUUUUUAUGCGUGUAUGUUGCCAUUGUAAGCAGAGAUAUGGGAUUUGUUUUCUUUUUCAUAACAGAACCAGUCUUUGGUGCCAAUGCCUCGCUAUAAUCUUUUGGUCUGACUAGGUUAUAUCUACGACAAGCCAUUUCAUAAUGUGACUUCAGGCCAUAUUACCAUUUGGAGUGCAAUAAAUCUUCUCAUCUUAGCAACAAUCACAUAAUCUUCUAUUAGUUUUCCUCCGGAUUCAGCCCGUAAAUAAUAGCCUUACUUUGUGAAGAGAUACAAUGCAGUGAAGUUUUAUACCAACUUUUGUUUGGCGCAUGCUUUUGCACUGCUUUAUCUUGUUUUCAGCGUAAUUCUUUUGCAAUUACUCUAAAGAAUUUAAAACCUUUCCCUUCUUUCUAGGUGCUUGUAGUCCAAGAACAUAGUGGAAGGUUCCAAGGUACGGGUGUAUGGAAACUCCCCACAGGAGUUGUGAAUGAGGUGAGUAUGUUUAAGAUAUCAAGUGCUACAUAAGAAGUACCAAUAUGUAAUGCAAUGGUUUGACUGUGACUAUCCCCGUAGGGUGAGGAUAUAUGUCAUGCGGUUGUCAGGGAAGUAAAGGAAGAGACCGGAGUAAGUGAAGAGUUUUAUGUUGUGUAGAAAAGUUAAUUAUCUGAGGCAUUUCACUUGAGAAUUCCAACUAAAGCCUUAUUCUUUUUCGUUCUACAGGUAGACACUAAAUUUGUCGAAGUCCUCUGUUUCAGGUAAAGAAAAUCCUCUAUUUCAGAUUGUGGUGCACUAAUAUGUUUUGGUCUUAAUUUAGAUAUCUGUGUUUAGCCUUCUGAUGUUCAAAUUUGCUUUCGCUUUCUCACAUUCUAUCUCUUAUUUUCAAUCACACAGACAAAGCCACAAAUCAUUCUUCACAAAGUCAGAUUUGUUCUUCCUUUGCGUGCUUCGGCCAGAAUCAUCUGCUAUCAAUAAACAGAAUGUAGAGAUCGAGGCAGCCCAGGUAAAUAGGACACUUGCAUAUCUUCUUGAUUUUAGUGGAAGUACGAGGAGUUUUUACUAAUUAAAUCUUUGCUCGGGCUAUCUGUACAACACUGGGCUGCGUGCUUUAAUCUUGCAUUCUUGCUCAGUUGUGCCAAACAAUGAAUCUAAUUAAAUUUAAUGUAAUAAUAUCUCAAGCACAUCAACGACGAGCGACCUCACUGGAUAUCUGUUAGGAUGUAGCCAUGUGGUAGCGGUGUUAAAAGAUGAUCAUUCAUUAGUUCUUUCUUUGGCCAAAUCUAUGAACUGAGCUGGAUGUAUAUUAUUUUGAUUCUAGUGGAUGCCAAUUGAGGAGUACGCGGCACAACAUUUCGUUAUUAACAACAAGCAAUUCAAUUUCAUGGCGAAGAUAUGCUUGGCGAAGGCUGAUCAUGGCUACCCUGGUUUCAGUGCUUGGGAAACAACUACUGGGAGCGGCAAAACGACUUACAUCUACUGUAAUAACCCUGAAAUUGUGGAGAACUUUGCAAGUUCGAUGUAAUUACCGCCUGGGUUGUGAUGCGGAAUUCUUUCCUUAGACCCAGGCCCACUGGACCGUGUUGAUCCCCACCACUGAUUUUGUGAACCUCACGUGAGCCUACAUGUAGGUCCCUGGGACUAGGGCAAGAAUUUUUGCUUCUGGUGUUAUGGAUGCACUGAUUAAAUUGAAAAAUACAGCUUCAUUUUGUGUCGUUUUGUAAUAGCAUAUGUCAAAUUCUGUUUACAUGGGCUAGUUUCAAUUGAUGGUUUCUAGAUGCAGAAUCAUUUCUAAUAUCGUGAUUUCUAAAGGUUUAAA
rnacentral:lncRNA from 1 species